CACGUAGGGCGCAAGCGUUGUCCGGAAUUACUGGGCGUAAAGCGCACGUAGGUGGCUUUGUAAGUUAGAGGUGAAAGCCCAGGGCUUAACCCUGGAAUUGCCUUUAAGACUGCAUCGCUAGAAUCGUGGAGAGGUGAGUGGAAUUCCGAGUGUAGAGGUGAAAUUCGUAGAUAUUCGGAAGAACACCAGUGGCGAAGGCGACUCACUGGACACGUAUUGACGCUGAGGUGCGAAAGCGUGGGGAGCAAACAGG
rnacentral:rRNA from 1 species